GCUGGGAAUGGUGGCGCAUGCCUGUAAUCCCAGCUACACAGGAGGCUGAGGUAGGAGGAUCACUUGAGCCCAGGAGGUCAAGGUUGCAGUGAGCCAUGAUCACACCACUGCACUCCAGCCUGGGCAACAGAGUGAGACCCUGUCUCAA
rnacentral:SRP_RNA from 1 species